rnacentral:rRNA from 1 species
UACGUAGGGUGCAAGCGUUGUCCGGAAUUAUUGGGCGUAAAGAGCUCGUAGGCGGCUUGUCGCGUCGGACUGUGAAAACCCGCGGCUCAACCGCGGGCCUGCAGCCGAUACGGGCAGGCUAGAGUUCGGUAGGGGGAGACUGGAAUUCCUGGUGUAGCGGUGAAAUGCGCAGAUAUCAGGAGGAACACCGAUGGCGAAGGCAG